GGGCAAAGGUCGCGCUUCCGCUUUAAAUCGCGAGUGGUUGCUAGGGGCGCUCGGAGCUGAAGGCAGGUGCUGAGAGUUCGCUUUUUGGAGAAUGUGUGACCACGUCCCAAGGUUGGCAACUGGGAGAACUUGUAUAGAAAGUUGAGCUGACUGAACCCUUGGCUGGAUAGACUCCUCGCCGACUCCCGCAAUCCCCGCCAGUCUCUCUUCGCCCUCUACCCUACCGGCGUUUCGCAAGAUCCCUGGCUCGUCCCGCUCCGGCGCGGAUUUCCUCCAGGGCUCGACGUGAGAGCCCUAACUCCAAAGUGAUGAUGAAGAAGAGACACCAGAGAGUGCUCUCCCCUACCUGCCCCCUACCCGACAAGGACAGGGUGAGAACGAGAAGGUGGCUAUCUGCAAAUCAGGAAAAGGGAUCUCACCAGAACCUGAAUGUACGGGUACUCUGAUCUCAGACUUCUAGCCCCUAGAACUGCGAAGUAAGUGUCUGUGGUUUAAGCCACCCAGUCUAUGGCAUUUAGUUAUAGUGGCCCAAGCUAGGACAGACCUUAUGGUAAGCCCCAGAGGAAAAAUCACAGUGAGGUCCCUGGGACUGGAGCAAAGCCAUUGCACCUGCAGCAGAGAAGUAUAUACAUUUGAAGAACCAGCUACUGGUUAAAAAAAAAAAAAAAAAAGAACCGGCUACUGGUGUGAUACUGGGCCUUGGUAGAGAAUAAACGCUUAACCAUGGGACGCCAAGUAAGCAUGUGUUCAGAACUGCCUCUCAUGGCCCGGAUUCUUUUGGUUCCAAGGACCCAGCAGCAUCUAUUGUAAGAUGGAAAUGGUACCUCUGAGAUGGAGCUCAGGCACAGUUGAGGUACUUGUAAGUUGUAUGACCAGGUAGUCCAGACCCCCGUGUCACCCCCCGCUGCUGCAGCACUACCAUGACCAGCUGAAGGAAGAAGGGUAAAUCCUGAGUUUGGUUUGUGGAUGAGUCAGCUUAGUAUGUGGGUGUAAGCCAAAAUUAGACAGUGACGGCCUUAUAGCCACAUUCUUGAGAGGCUUUGAAAAACAGCGGAAAGGAAAAAAUCUUCUUAAUGAGUAGAGUUACAAGCAUUGUCCCUGGUCAUCUACUUUGUGUAUAAGGAGAAGCAGACUGAACUAAGAAUAUGUAUAAAUAUAGAUUCUUGGGCAGGGGUCAAUGGCCUAGCCCCCUGGUAGGACACCUGGAAGGAAAGGGACUGGAAGAUCAAAGGCAGGAAACUCUGGGGUAGAGUCUUAAGGGUGAAUAUACGGGAGUGGGCAUGAAAUGUGAAGAUUUUUGUAUCAUGUUUUUGUACCCACCAGGGAGGAAGUACUAAACAAUGAAGUAGUCAGAAUGACUCGUCUAAUUGGGUCAACAGGCUCAAGCACUGGCUACUUGGAACCAGCCUAAUGGGCACUGUAGAGGGUUAUAUUGUAUCCCCCCCCAAAGUUUAUAUGCUCAAUUUCUAAUCUCCAGUACCGCAAAAUGUGCCCUUAUUUGUACAUAGGGUUGUUGCAGAUGUAAUUAGUUAUGGUGACAUCAUACCAGAGUAGGCGGGCCCCUAAUCCAGUGUAACUAGCCUCCUAAUAAGUAGAAGGCCGUGUGAAGACAGAGAUACAUGGAGGGAAGGCCAUGCGAAGAUAAGAACAGAGACUAGGCCCAUGUAGGAGAAGCCAAGGAAUGCAAAGAUUGCCAGCAAACCACCAAAAGCUGGGAGAGAGGCAUAGAACAAGUUUUCCCUCACAGGCCUGAGAAGGAACUAAGCCUGCUAACACCUUGAUCUCAGACUUCUAGCCUCUAGAACUGUGAGACAAUAAGUUUCUGCUCUUUAAAUCACCAAAUUUAUGGUACCUUGUGAAGGCAAUUCUAAGAAACUAAUACAGGCACUAUAAAUGGAGCGGCCACAGUGGCAGAGAUAGAGGCUAUGGAUAGAUCCCAAAAGCAUGGACUCCAGCUUUUUAAGGCUGAUCUAGCUACUGAUGCCUAAAUGUCCAGCAUGUCAGCAAUAGAGACUGCGGCUGAGUCCCAUUAUGGAACUAUUACUCAAGGAGACAAAUGGCUACUUGGUGACAAGUUGACGACAUUGGGUCUCUUCCAUCCCGGAGGGGCCCCUGUUGCAUUCUCACAGUAAUAGGUAACUAAUUCUGGGUAUGGGUUUUCCUUUCUACCAACAGAUCCCCAGCUCACAGUACAGUACUGGGGCGUGUGGAAUGUCUGAUCCGCAGGUGUAGAACCCUGCAUAACCAAGAAUUCAACUGGGACAACAGCUUUAGAGUAAAAGAGGGAGAGAGUGGACCUGUGACCUCAUACCACACCAACCAGAAAAGGCUGACCUCAAAAAGAGCUAGAAUAGUUUUCUAAAGGUUCAAGUGAAAUACCAUUCAGAGACAACUCUGAAAAAACUGGGUACUAUCAUUCAGGAUAUGUUAUACAAAUUAAAUCAGAGGACAUUUGGAAGCCAAUAGGAAAAAUAGAUGAGUCCACUAACAAAGGAGUGAAUGCAGGAAUAGCUCCAUUUACCUUCACUACCAAUGACCCACCAGAGGAUCUUGUGCUCCUUAGACCCACAAAGCUGUGAUCUGUGCCAGAUACUGCUCCCCAGAGGGAUUGCACUCCCUGUGUUAAGGGGCACAGCAAAGAUCCCAGCAGCUAUGACUGCUGCUGAGGCACUUUAGACUCAUUAUUCUGGGGGCCAGUAGGUGAAAACUCACCAUCAUGACAAGGAUAACUGAGCCUAAUGGGUAGGAGAAGGUAGCACUGCCUUUUACAGAAUCCAUGUGACUCACUUGGGUGUCUCCUGAUACUCUCUUGCCCCAUUGCAACUAUGAACAUAUGCAGUGACUCUGACCUGAGAAGUGUUUGGUUACCAGCAGCUCAGUUCCCGCAGGAAUAAAGGUCUGGCUAAUACUAUCACAUAAGACCUCAAGAUCUGCUAAGAUGAUAAGUGAGGGUGUGGGGAAUUUAGACGGAAUAGUAGAAAAGGGAGAAAAUGAAUAUCAAUUGUGGCCUCCAGACCAGGUGCUGUAGUUCAUUCUACUUAUCUUUCUCUUUUUUUUUUUUUUUUUUUUUUUUUUUUUUGUCUUUUUAGGGCCAUAUCCACAGCAUAUGGAGGUUCCCAGGCUAGAGGUUGAAUCCAAGCUGUAGCCGCUGGCCUACCCUACAGCCACAGCAACACCAGAUCCAAGCUGUGUCUGUGACCUACACCACAGAUCAUGGCAACACCAGAUCCUUAACCCAUAGAGUGAGGCUAGGGAUCGAACCUGCGUCCUCAUGGAUGCUAGUCAGAUUCAUUUCCACUGAACCACGACAGAACUCCUCAUUCCACUAAUCUUUCUUUUCUAAGUUUCUUUUUAGGAGGAGAGGCCCAUGAAAGAGCUUCUUCCCAAACUGGUAGAUCUGUGAGGCGAAGGAGUGGACUGCAGUGUUUCUAAAAAUGGGCCACUGGAUUUCCUGCUGUGCAGAGUGUAGUCAGUUGAUGGCUCCAGUUACUGAGGCCACACUUCCCACACCAUAUUCCUAACUAAUGACUGAGCAUGCGGAGUAAUAACGCAGCUCAUUCCUUCAAGACUUGGGGCUCCCCCAAUGGACCACUUUGGCUAGAGGGAGCUAUUCUUCAGAUUCAGAGUUCAGAGGGAAAUUUAAAGACAGGAGAUUUAUGCAAAGAAAACUUUUAUAGAAAUUAAAGAUAAAAUCAGAAAUUGAUGAAACAGAAAGGAGAAAAUCAACAAAGCCAAAAUUUUAGUAACAUUCAGAAAGAUUAAAAAGAAAAUCAACUCUUAGCAAGACUGCUCAAGGAAAACUUUAAGAAAACACAUUACCAAUAUCAGCAAUAAAAAGGACAUCUCUGGGAGUUUGGGCCUAGCGGUUAAAGAUCCAGUGUUGUCACUGCGUGGCUUGGGUUCGAUCCCUGGCUUAGGAACUUCCACAUGCCUCGGCAUGGCCAAAAAAAAGAGGACAUCACCACAGGUCCUAUAGACAUUAAAAAUAUAAGAAAAUAUCAGGGGCUACAACUUUAUACCAAUAAAAUUGGCAACCUAGAUGAAGUGAAAAAUUUUAUUGAAAAAUAAAACUUGAAACUGAAAUAAUAAUAAUUCUGUAUUUUAAAGGAAUUGAAUUCAUAAUUUAAAACUUUUCUACAAAGAAAACUCCAGAUGGCUUCACUGGUGAAUUCUCUCCAACAUAUAUAUUUCUUUUAGAAAGGCAUAAAAGGCGUAUUCACACUUUCUGAUGCUUAUAUAUCACGCACUCUAUUUGUGCGUUAACUUCCCCCUGCUCCAUGCCUCAUUCAUUUAGCACAUUACGUUAGGAGUCGUAGGUAAAAAGAUGAAUAACGUUUUUGGCAGCAGGAGCUUUCAGAUUGGUGGAAGAAGCAGCCAUGUAAUGUAAAUGCCAUGAAAUAGGUGCUAAUAAAGAUUUUUAUAAAGUACUGUGAGAGAUGGGUGUGAAUCCAGGGAAGGAAAGGCUUUACAGGCAGGAGAAGUGAAACAGUGUGCCAUGUGCUGUAGGCAUAAAAAUAACUGGGAAACAGAGGACAUCCUUUCCCGGUCUUCCUUCCUGGAUCUUCUCCCCUCACAUUUUCAGUACCUCAGGGUUCUUCCUUGACUUCUGUUUUUCAGUCUCCUCCGUUUCAAACACUCUCACAUUCGUCCCUUUCAGAUAUAACUUAAUCAUUCCAAAAUAUGUUAUCUCCAGCCUCCAGCUCUCUCUUGAGCUCCAGGCCUAAGUAUUUAAAUAUCCAGAGAACUCCCCUACUCAAGCGCUUUGUUUCACUCUUGUUCUCCUCUCUUCCCUGCAUCACCAGUCUUCUCUCCCUUCUUGGAAGAGCCCUCCCUUGAUGGCAUGUGCCUCUUCAGCUACUACUAUACUACUUUUCUUCUCCCCUUUAUAUCAUCAUCUCCCUUUCUUUCUACUGUAUCUUAACCUUUUAUGAUACUUAAAAACCUUUCAUGGGUCUUUUAUCCCCAAUAUUCUGCUGAGAUGACCCUUAUCAAGGUCAUCAAUAACCAUCAUGUCGCCAAAUCCAGUUCUCAACUCCUUUGACCUAACGGCAGCAUUGAAGCCGUUGCUCAUGUCCUCCUCUUGAAAGACUUCUACCUGGCUUCACCCGCUGCUGAUUUCCUUCUCACCUCACUGGACGCUCCUUCUUAGUCUCUUGGUCGGAUCUUCUCUCUCAUCACAGCCAUUAAGUAUUAGAGUAUUCUGUUGUUCCAUCCUUGGGCUUCUGCUCAGUUUUUACUUACAAUCAUCUUAGAACUCUUAACCAGUUCUAGCAUCUUAAAUGCCAUUGUAUAAUUCCAAAAAUGUAUAUCUAUAUACUUGACCCCGCCCCUGAACUCCAGACUCAUAUCUCCAGUAGCUACUCUCAUUGGAUGUCUAACAGUAUUCCAAACUAAACAUGUCUAAAAGCAAACUCUAUCAAACCUAAUUCCCUUCAGUCUUCUCCAUCUCAUAAAUGGCUCUAUGAUUCAGUCUGUUGCUCAGGCCAGAAGUGUUGGAGUCAUUGUCAACGUCUCUCUUUUUCUGUUACCCUCAUUCAGUCCAUUAGCACAUUGCAUCAGCUCUGCCUUCAAAAUGUAUCUCAAGUCUGGGAGUUCCUGCUGUGACACAGUGGGUUAAGAAUCUGACUGCGUGGCCCUGGUUGCUGCGGCGGCACAGGCUCAACCCCUGGCCCAGCGCAUUGGAUUAAAGGGUCUGGCAUUGCCACAUCUGUGGCAUAGGUCACAGCUGUGCCUCCAAUUCGAUCCCUGAUGGAUAUAUAUCAAGUAUAUAUAUGCUUGAUAUAUAUAUCAAGUCUGAUCAGUUCUCACCAACUUCUCUCACCUAGACCCCUUCUUCCUAACUGGCUGCCCAGCUUUUACACUUCCCCCACUACAGUCUUUGGGGAGUGAUCUUCUACAGUGUAAGUGAGGACAUACCACUCCUGUGUUCAAAAACCCUCCAAUGAUUCACAUCACACUUAAGAUAAAACCCAGAGUUUUCCCCCAUGGUCUACGAAGACUUGUGAUCUGGCAUCUUGCUCUACUCUGACCUUAGCUUCUUCCAUUCUUCCCCUCCUUUAGUCUGUGCUUCUAUCACGCUAGUCUCCUUGUCAUUCCUGAAACAUAUGACAAGCACAUUCCCUGCACUGGACAUCUGCACUUCCUCUUGACUCUGUCUGGACUACUCUUUCUCCAGGUAUUCACACGGCUCAUUUCCUCUCUGUUCAGAGGGUACCCCUUCAUGGGUACCACUUCAUCUAAAAUAACUUUCUCCUUUAUUUGCUGUGAUUUUACUCUGCUCUAUUUUCUUUCAUAGCUUGUAGCAUUACAGAGAUCAUAUCGUGUGUGCAUUUGUUUGUUGGAAAUGUGUUAUCUGCUUUCCACAGUAGAAUGUGAACUCCACAGGGGCAAGGAAUUCAUCUGUUUUGUUCAGUCACCAAAUCCUAUCAGUUCUACCCCUUAAAAUAUUUUCAGUCCAUCUUCGUCUCCGUUAUCACUACCUUUGCCUUAAUUCAGUUGCCAUCAUCACUUGCUAGGACUAUUAUUGUAUUUUCCUACUUGACUAUCUGCCUUCACCUUCUAUUGAGACCUUUCUCUCACAUGACUACCAAUUCGAUAGCACUAUAGUUAAUAUGUAUUCAUGUCUCUCCUACAUAGAAUCCUUUAUAGGGUACACGCCCUUUGCAUAUUGGGUUAAGUUCAAGCCCCUCAGCACAGCAUCCAAGUCAUCUCCUGCCACCUUUACUUUUACUCUCCAGCAGCACCAAACUGCUUAAAUAGCCUCAUGUCCUUGCCUCUGUUCUUGGGACAUACUGGUUCUUCUAUUUAGAUGCCCUUUCCCGACUCAGAGAUAGAUAAAUAUUUCUUCCUUUGGCUGUACUUCCAUUGCAUUCAUUAUACUGCGAUGGAUUUUUUUUUUUUUCUUACAUGUAGGUCUCUUAUUACAAUGAUCUCUUGGGGGGAGAGAGUUCUAUCUUGUUGAGGUUGCAGCUCCUGUCACACAGUAAUGGGUAGAUGGAGAUGGGAGUAGGGCGUGGAGAAUGUUCAAAGUAGAAAGGACUGCGUGUGUAAUCACUCUGAAGCAUGAGGGGGCUCGGCAUCUUCAGAAAAGAGAGAAGGACUGUGUGACUGAUCUAGUAAGGGGGAGAGUGGCGGGAGGCAAACUGGAAAGACUCUGGGAACCAGAUCAUGCAAGGCCCUUGUCGAACAUGCAAAAGAUGUUGAAUUGUGAGAAAAUGAGAAAUGGAAAGUCUCAAAAAAGCUUUAAGGAGAAAAAGAUGAAGUUUGCAUAAAAAAAAAAAGCACUUUGCUUGCUUUGUAAACAGUAGAUUGAAAGAUAUCAAGAAUGACCAGUGAGGGACCUGCUGGGCACUAUUGUAAUAGUCCAGGCAGAAAGAGAUGAUGCCUUGGCCUGGGCUUUAGCUGUGGGGAUGGUGAGAAGUAAAUAGAUUCAAGUUAUAUCUUGGAGAUAAACUGGAUCAGGUUUAGUGAUAGAAUAAAUGAGGGCGUGAGGAAGGUAGAUAACAUAACUGCUGAAAUGCAGCUGAUUUGCCAGAGGAGGGUCAAAGAAGAAGUAGCUAAGUUUCGAGAAGUUAAGUUUGAGAUGCUUGAGUACGAGACAUGUAAAGGGAUGUGCCAAAAAGGCAGUUGAAUAUGGAGGUAUGAAUUUCAGAAGUGUAACUGAGCUGGAAAAAAAACUGUCAUGAGUACACAGACUGUGUAUAAAUCAUAAGAGAACCUAAGGAGAGAUCACAGUAUAAAGAGAAGAUUAUGGAGGAUGCAUAAUUGAGAAGAAAUUCAUUGGAUUGGAGGAAAUGAGGCAGGAAACUGAGAGGGCCACAUGGACUUUAUAACUGCCCAGGGGGUGGCAGAAGUUGACAGGAAACUUGGAUCCCGCAUUGCUGUGCCUGUGGUGUAAGCCAGCAGCUACAGCUCCAAUUCGACUCCUAGCCUGGGAACCUCCCUAUGCCAGGGGUGAGGCCUGAAAAAAAAAAAAAAAA
rnacentral:lncRNA from 1 species